rnacentral:rRNA from 1 species
AUACGGAGGAUGCGAGCGUUAUCCGGAUUUAUUGGGUUUAAAGGGAGCGUAGGUGGGAUAUUAAGUCAGCUGUGAAAGUUUGGGGCUCAACCUUAAAAUUGCAGUUGAUACUGGUUUCCUUGAGUACGGUACAGGUGGGCGGAAUUCGUGGUGUAGCGGUGAAAUGCUUAGAUAUCACGAAGAACUCCGAUCGCGAAGGCAGCUCCCCGGGCCGGAACUGACACUGAUGCUCGAAAGUGCGGGUAGCAAACAGGAUUAGAUACCCUGGUAGUCCGCACAGUAAACGAUGAAUACUCGCUGUUUGCGAUACACUGUAAGCGGCCAAGCGAAAGCGUUAAGUAUUCCACCUGGGGAGUACGCCGGCAACGGUGAAACUCAAAUGAAUUGACGGGGG